rnacentral:rRNA from 1 species
AGUGGCGGACGGGUGAGUAAUGUCUGGGAAACUGCCCGAUGGAGGGGGAUAACUACUGGAAACGGUAGCUAAUACCGCAUAACGUCGCAAGACCAAAGAGGGGGACCUUCGGGCCUCUUGCCAUCGGAUGUGCCCAGAUGGGAUUAGCUAGUAGGUGGGGUAACGGCUCACCUAGGCGACGAUCCCUAGCUGGUCUGAGAGGAUGACCAGCCACACUGGAACUGAGACACGGUCCAGACUCCUACGGGAGGCAGCAGUGGGGAAUAUUGCACAAUGGGCGCAAGCCUGAUGCAGCCAUGCCGCGUGUAUGAAGAAGGCCUUCGGGUUGUAAAGUACUUUCAGCGGGGAGGAAGGGAGUAAAGUUAAUACCUUUGCUCAUUGACGUUACCCGCAGAAGAAGCACCGGCUAACUCCGUGCCAGCAGCCGCGGUAAUACGGAGGGUGCAAGCGUUAAUCGGAAUUACUGGGCGUAAAGCGCACGCAGGCGGUUUGU